UACGUAGGGGCCUAGCGUUGUCCGGAUUUAUUGGGCGUAAAGAGCUCGUAGGCGGUUUGGUGAGUCGGGUGUGAAAUCUCCACGCUCAACGUGGAGGGGCCACCCGAUACUGCCAUGACUAGAGUCCGGUAGGGGAGUGUGGAAUUCCCGGUGUAGCGGUGAAAUGCGUAGAUAUCGGAAGGAACAUCAGUGGCGAAAGCGACUUCCUGGACCAAUACUGACGCUCAUGUGCGAAAGCGUGGGAGCAAACAGG
rnacentral:rRNA from 1 species